GGAGUACUCCCUCCGUUCGGAAAUACUUGUUGGAGGAAUGGAUGUAUCUAGACAUAUUUUAGUUCUAGAUACAUUCAUUUUUAUGCAUUUCUUCGACAAGUAUUUCUGGACGGGGGGAGUAUAAA
rnacentral:pre_miRNA from 1 species